AGCCUACGGGGCGCAGCAGUAGGGAAUUUUCGGCAAUGGGGGGAACCCUGACCGAGCAACGCCGCGUGAACGAAGAAGUUAUUCGUAAUGCAAAUUUCUUUUAUCGGGGAAGAAAGAGGAAUUUGACGGUACCUGAGGAAUAAGCUCCGGCUAACUACGUGCCAGCAGCCGUGGUAAUACGUAGGGAGCGAGCGUUAUCCGGAAUUAUUGGGCGUAACGGGUGCGUAGAUGGCAUAGUAAGUCUUUUGUAAAAAUGCUGGGCUCAACCCAGUAGAGCAAAAGAUACUGCAAAGCUAG
rnacentral:rRNA from 1 species